AUUGAACGCUGGCGGCAGGCCUAACACAUGCAAGUCGAGCGGUAGCACAGAGAGCUUGCUCUCGGGUGACGAGCGGCGGACGGGUGAGUAAUGUCUGGGAAACUGCCUGAUGGAGGGGGAUAACUACUGGAAACGGUAGCUAAUACCGCAUAAUGUCGCAAGACCAAAGAGGGGGACCUUCGGGCCUCUUGCCAUCAGAUGUGCCCAGAUGGGAUUAGCUAGUAGGUGGGGUAAUGGCUCACCUAGGCGACGAUCCCUAGCUGGUCUGAGAGGAAGACCAGCCACACUGGAACUGAGACACGGUCCAGACUCCUACGGGAGGCAGCAGUGGGGAAUAUUGCACAAUGGGCGCAAGCCUGAUGCAGCCAUGCCGCGUGUGUGAAGAAAGCCUUCGGGUUGUAAAGCACUUUCAGCGAGGAGGAAGGCAUUAAGGUUAAUAACCUUAGUGAUUGACGUUACUCGCAGAAGAAGCACCGGCUAACUCCGUGCCAGCAGCCGCAGUAA
rnacentral:rRNA from 1 species